GGGGAUGUAGCUCAGUGGUGGAGUACUUACCUCGUGUGUGUAAAGCCCUGGGUUCAAUCCCCAGCCCCCA
rnacentral:tRNA from 1 species